AACAGUAGGAAAUGUCACUCAGCAAUGAGACCUGGGUCACGCUGACAUCAUGGUUGUGUUCUGUGUCCAUAUGAGUUUGAAUCUGCUUCAGUGAGGAGAACAUCACAGUCCACGCUUCCUUCAAACAGUCCACAGACCCGUCAGGUCUGAGCGUCGGGGACAUUUCACGCUUUUUGAAAUCAGCUCUCAGGAUUACAGCAGCUCAUGGAUGUCAUCAGUUUCCUGUUCUGGAAUUGGUUUUAUAGAAACAUCCUGAUAUCUGACAGCUCAUGGGAAGGACCAAAGGGAGGAGGCCAGAUAUGAUAGCUGAGCAAAAAUGUUCUAUAACAAAAGUAAAAUAAGCAAACUCAUGUAGCUCAGUGAAGUCAGCGGGAUGUGCAGUGUCUGGAUCUGUGACAUGGACUGAAAGAAACCAUAACACAAACCAAACAGCCAAAAUCAAACUCCAAGUAGAGACAGAAAUCCUGCUGCCACCAUUCAUUUCUGUUUGGAAGCAGACAUAAAGUCCUCGUGCUGUCAAAUCCAGAACCACUCGAGCCUUUUGGAGCCGUUUACAUCUGUGAAAAAGGUGGAAACAUGUCAAACAUGUGAGGAAGAACCAGCAGCAGCUCACACGUUUACCACAACCACACACAGUCCUCUGAGAGCAGCGUGGCCUCCAUCUUUGAAACAAAGUUCACAGUGAAAAUCAAACAAACUCGCUGAUUGAUUAUUGAUUGAUUUUCAGAGAUGAUGUCAGAUCGGGGCUGCUCAGGGUGCUGUGGCUGUAAAACGCCAAUCAUAUCCACUCAGAGAGCCUCACUAAGCCCCGCCCCUCUUCAUACACCUGCUCGUCCCGGUCGGGCUCACGGGGGCGGCGGUCUCAGCGCACACGCUCACACCUCUUUCCACGUCCUCCAGCUCUUCUGGGAUGCUGAGGCGUUCCCCGAUGAGUCGACAGACUGAAUCUCUCCAACGUGUCCUGGGUCCGCCCCGGGGUCUCCUCCCAGUCGGACGCCUCACCCAGACGCCCUUCAGAGGAAGCUCACGGAUGGCGUUCGUACCUUCAGCCUGAUCCUUUCAGUCACAGCUCGUGCAGUCACAACACUGCUGCCAAUAAAGUGAAACAAAGCAUCUUAAAGCCAUUUCAAUAAACGCACACACAGAGUUAUCACAGCACUCAUGAAACAUGCACACUGGGCACAAACUAACUUCUAACAUGUUGAACUUUGCUCCAGUUUGUUCUGAUUGGCUGAAGCUUGGUAGUCACAUGGCUGCCUGUGAGUGUGUUUAAACACAGAGAGAAGCUGAAGCUUCACAUGUUGUGUUCUUCACACAGUCGGAUCAAACGUGUAAACUUUGUGACACAGCCUGGUCUUCAUGUGUGUGUGUGCACGGUCUGAGGAGCUCUCAAGCUUUUCAUAGAGGACACACACACUGAUGCAGGAACAGAUGGAUGCACAUGAAAGCUUCACACACUCCUGAUGAGUGAGGACACACACACUCACAACAUGAGCAGCCAGCAGGCUUUAAAUGCUCAGUGUGAAGAAGUUUCCACACUUACCUUAAUAUCAUCAAGCAGCCUUCUUCUUCUACUGGUUCCCACAGUUCCCAGUGUUAAUAAAUGCACAGCCACAUGUGCUCUCUGUCAUCACCUACAGAUCUGAGAUCAGCAGCUUGUCCACUGUAGGCUUUAUCUUUUCCAUGUAACUGUGCUGCUUCACAGAGAGGGAGAACUGCAGCGCUUUGUUUGCUUGUGAACAAUAUGUGCAUGUUAAAUAUGAACAGCUGCUCCAGCAUGUGUUAGUGUGACAGACUGAAAUGUUGCUCCUUUUAAAGCUUUCUGCAGGAACUUCAUUUGAACAGGCAGGAAUUAGUUGUUCAAUAAAGGCAUGAAUUGGACCUUAAAGGUGGCCAAUCGAUACCAACGCUGGUAUUGGUGUCGGAUCAAUACUAGUGUGAUGGGACUGAGACUUUGUUUCUAUGCUCUAAGUUCAUUAUACAGACACUGGACUGUGUUACAUCAAUAUUUUGGGGGAAAACAAAGUAGGUCAAACAUGCACAAUGAAAACUGUCUGAAGCUUUUGGUGUGACUAUCACACCUAUUUUAUUUGUAGCCUGCAGCACAUUGUGUUUUACUGAGACGCACAUUUAUAUUCAAGGUGUCCAAAAAAGCUCAAAGCUGUGUUUUUAUUGUGUUAACUAAUUAUUGCAGAAUGUGAACAUCACAGUGAUUUAGUGUCAUUAAAAUGUGUUCAGAACAUU